GAGAAAAGGCAGGCGUCAAGGAAUGGGGCUGGGGGAAAACGCUGUUUUGAUUUUUUCGAAGAAAUGGACCAGCUAGCUACUGGGUGCCAGGCCGGUCGUGGUUGCGAGGUCCUCUGCUGUUGACAGCACCGUUCCCCCUGAUGACCAAUCUGGUGUGGAAGACGAGAAAGAGGAUGAAGGGGAUGAUGAGGAAGAAGAGGGUGCUGAAGACUACAGUGGACAAGUGACCAUGGAGGAUUCAGAGCCCCCAGGCCCCACCCCAGCUGCAGCAGGAGGUAGUCGCCUGUUUCGCAGGCCACUGAAGAAAAAGUCUUUACUAGCUGCAUAGAGUCAGCAGCUGUCGGACUUACUGAAAAGUCAAGAGGCAGGAGGAGGAAGAUGGAGAGAUGCUAACUUCUCUGAGAAAGUCCGUCAAGCGCCAGUUUGGAGCAUCAGAAUAACCCGUCCAUUGCCUCUUCAAGCAGCCAAGUGGCCUUACCAUUUAAUGUUAUUUAAUAUUUAAUACUACUUAUGAAUAUUUAUUAAAUGCAUUUUUGUGAAAAAUGCCCAUGUUUGUUUGUUUCACUUGUUGUGAAUUCUGUGGUCUUUCACAAAUGCAUG